UCCUAGGUGACUGAGUAGAAGUGCUAGACUUUUAAUCUAGAGACAGCAUGUGUGUGGAGAUGCUCCUAGGAA
rnacentral:tRNA from 1 species